UACGGAGGGUGCAAGCGUUGUCCGGAUUUAUUGGGCUUAAAGCGUGCGUAGGCGGCCAAUUAAGUCAGGGGUGAAAUCCCGGGGCUCAACCCCGGAACUGCCUUUGAUACUGGUUGGCUUGAGUACGGUAGAGGCGGGUGGAACUGGUGGUGUAGCGGUGAAAUGCAUAGAGAUCACCAAGAACCCCGAUUGCGAAGGCAGCUCGCUGGGCCGAAACUGACGCUGAGGCACGAAAGCGUGGGGAGCGAACAGG
rnacentral:misc_RNA from 1 species